AUGAAUGUCUCUUUUUUAACAGAAGAACUUCCUCCAGGACACGGCGAGACCGGGUCGACCUCGUCCAGCUUCACGAACCUACGGCUCUCAGAGAAGGUAUAUCUUCACAGCGAUCUCCUAGUAGACCUUCAAACAGUAGGACUCAUAUUCUUUACUUUGGUGGUUGGCCGCCGUGCCACCUUGCUUGGCCGCCGCGCCUUGACUUCGCUUUGUUUGGCCGCCGUGCCCAUUCAUGGCCACUGUGCCAUACUAAGACGUCAAUUUCUUCUGACAACGCGUCCGUCCGCCCGUCCGUCCAACAUGGCCGCCCUUCCAUCAAUCAUCUUUUUCCUUUCUCCUUUCUGUCUCUGAGAUGUCUAGCAUAGCUCAGCUGGAGUCAAGUAGUAGGGAGAGAUGUCCUUUCUGUGCUUAAAGGGAAACAGUAGAGCGUUUAGUCAUCUGUGCAGUAUAACAGGGAACACUGAAAGCCCUUUAAGAGACUGACUCUGGUUCUGGUCAAUUAUUUAAACUAGGAACUGCUGAGUUAGUGAUGUCAAGUGAAUCGGACGUUGGCUCAGGGCUUGUCUGAGAAAAAAGCACUGGACUGGGAUCAGGUUUCGAAUGUAUUUUAUCGUGGAGUGGAGGUAUGUUUGUGUUGGCCUGAAUGGAUCUGCAGUGACUAUGCCUGAGAGUUUGUUUAAAGCUCAGCAGUUCAUAUUAAAGUGGCUAAUGGUGGUUUAAGAUCUUUGGCCUGUUGAAGGUGCCUGGCCUGCUGCGCCAUGGUUAAUUUGUGAAAGAAGCUUGAUUAUUGUUGCACUAACUUUUCCUUCAUAGGUGUCUCAACGAUGGGUAAGUCCAAUUUUUUGUGAUGUCUUUUUGAAUGGCUGCCGUGUCGGCCUCCCUGUGUCUUGUUGAUAGGUAAGAUUUUUUUGUUUUGUAGAGCAGGGGAAUAAAUCCCAAGUUUAGAGUUGUCUGUGUCCUAUAUUUCCUAAAGUCAUAGAAGUAGGCUAGAUGCAGAGUAGAAAGAUAGGGAACAGCUAACAGGUUCAAUACUUAAAAGUACAAUGUUUUUGUUAGUCUUACCAAAUUAUAAGACCAACAUUGAUUGCUCCAAAUAAUUAAUCUUCAAUUCUUAAAGAGUUAAAGAGCACUUAAAUAUAUUCAUUAAUCCGUCUCAAACACAACGGUGUAGGCUGUCUAGGCUGAAAUCUGAGUAUUACUCCAACAGACUGUAAAACCACCUAGAUUUUAUAAGACUUGGAUGUCUCCCUCGUCGUGCGCGCAAACGUUCGUCCGUCCAACUUGACCGCCACGCCGCUGUCCAGCAUUUUUUCCUCCUGAGGGAUUUCCAGAUGGUAGAUCCUUGUGGAUCUACCACCAUAAGUAAGUGCCUGUUUACUCUUUAUGGGCUGUGGUUUUGUUUGGCCUUUGUGCCAUGUGUUUAUUUUGCUUUGCUGCUGUGCCAUGACUGCAUUUCCAUUUCUCCAAUUUUCCAACAAAGAAGACCUGUUCCUCCGACGUUAUUGCGUGUCCGUCCCAAAUAUUUGAUUUAGUUGCGCGUCCAUCAAACAUUUUCCCCUGUGGAUCUACAGACAAGUGCCGUUUGUUUAACUUGGGGGCCGUGCCCAUCGCUCAUGGCUGCCGCGUCAUGACUUAGCUUUUUACGCUCGGCUACCUUGCCGAUCUAUCCAUCUCCCAUGGCCGCCGCGUCAUGACUUCGAUUUUUACGCUCGGCUACCUUGCCGAUCUAUCCAUCUCCCGUGGCCGCCGCGUCAUGACUCCGCUUUUUACGCUCGGCUACCUUGCCGAUCUAUCCAUCUCCCAUGGCCACCGCGUCAUGACUUGGCUUUUUUCCCUCUUGGCCCCCUUGCCGAUCAAUCCAUCUCUCAUGGCUGCCAUUUUGCCUGUUUCUUUGGCAACAGAAACGGGCAGCCAAAUGGCCACUUUACUCAAUGCGUAAAUCGUUUAUCAAAAUAGCUGUAAGUUUGUCCCUCCAACGUGGCCGUCACUGCGUUAUUGAGUCUUUAAUGUGAGAUAAAAUUUCCUUAGCUACAAAUGUCAAUUUCUUAAAUUGAGCUUCCCUCAACAAAGUAAAUGGAGCAUUUAAACCUUGAUUUCUCUAUUUUUCUUAAAUUAUUUUUUUUAUUUUGUUCAUGGGCAUUAGUGCUGCAUAAACGGGUGGUUUUUAGGUUCUUUUGUUUUGAACUGAAUCAGAUAUCGAACUGAUGGUUUGUCUGAGAACAGCUCUGACCAGUAAUCUGGAGUCAGUUUCAUUUAAGUAAAUGUUGGAGUUUUUAAGUUUCUGUUGGAAAGUUGCAGAAGUAAUCAGUCUGUAGUGAAGGUGUUCUGUAUUGGCCGUCGUGCCACAAGGCCUAAGCCUCUCUCUGUACAACAUGGCCGCCGUGCCCGUCUUAUCAUUUCCUGACUUUCAUUUCUCACUACGUCCAACGUGGUCGCGCGUUUGUCCGAACAUGACCGUCCGUUAGCCGGUGCAAGCAGGUUUAUUGUAUACCACAUUUCAGGAAGGCACUUAAAAAAGCUUUACAUAAAAUGUAAAAGGUUUCAAAAUUUGUAAAGCAACUUAAGACAAUACAAAAGUACUUUGAGAAAUUGGUUAAAUAAAUGAACUAAAAUAACACACUCAAAACAGUAGAUACACACAAAGGUUUUGAUUCAGCCAUGACUGCAUUUCCGUUUUCAUCCGUCCAACGUUUCAUCCGUCCAACAUUUAAUUUCCUGGAUCUACAGAGUAUUUGACUGCAUUUCAUUUUUUCAUUUCAUCCGUCCAACAUUUCGUCAUUUCAUUUCCCGGUGGAAGUACGAAGAGUGUUUGACUGCAUUUCAUUUUUUCAUUUCAUCCGUCCAACAUUUCGUCAUUUCAUUUCCCGGUGGAAGUACGAAGAGUGUUUGACUGCAUUUCAAUUUCUCCAUUUCAUCCGUCCAACAUUUCGUCAUUUCAUUUCCUGGUGGAAUUACGAAGAGUGUUUGACUGCAUUUCAAUUUCUCCAUUUCAUCCAACCAACAUUGAUGCCAUUUAAUCUCCGUGGCCGUCCGAAUUUUUAUUUCCCCCCUUGGUGGGUCAACAAGUAAGUGUUUUGCUUGUAUUGUGGUUUUGUUAAGCUGCUGUGCUGCUAAACUUUUUGAUGUCUUCUGUCCAAAAUUGCUGCCAUGUCUGUCAUCUCUUGUUUCUCUCAACAGUCUGUUGUCUCGUCUGACUGUCCUACAAGAAGGCUUUUGUCUGUCUCUGACUGAUGACUGACUUAUAGAAAUUAAAACUUGACUGACAUUAAUUGGACUCAGAAUAACAUUGAAGAAAUGUAAAUAGGCUUUAUUGGACUGACAUAUCAGACAUGUACAGUUUAUUAACUUUACUGGCAGAUUGGCAACGAACACUAAUAUUUAAACUUCAACAAUUAUAAAUUACAAUACUAUUAAAUUCCCAAGGACCAAACAGGCUUGUCAUAAAUGAGGCAAUUUGAGGAUCAAGAUUCAAAUUUUUCUUUUCUUACAAAGAGAACAAAUCCCUGUUUUUCAUAGUGUUGUAGGAUUAAAAUUCCAUCUAACCCCCCACGUCUGUCGCUGGUGGGCUACCAUCUACUGCAGGUAAGCGCAAUUUUUCUUUUUAAUAAUUGAAUCAUUUAAUUCAAUUUAAUGUCACGUCUGUCUUGUGGUGGGUGGGAGGGGUCAGAAUCAGGGUCACUUAUUCAUAUAAAAGGAUUGUUGGAAGUAGAAGUCCCCCCCUCACUUCUGAUUGCUGGGGAGUCUUUUCCUCAGUGUGAAUUGAUAAUGAUUAUUGUAGUUUUUUUCCAGUUAUCUAUCUGAUCAUAAAUUGGAGGCUUUUUUGGUUGUGUGGCUUUUUGAGCAGCUGUUUAAAUUAAAUUACCAGAACAUUGAUAUACUUAAAUUUCAUUGACACUACUUAAGUAUGGCAUUCUCAAGUAUUUAUUUGACCCUACUAUGUUUUAUGAAAGUCAUUUUAAGUUGUUUUUGGCAUAUGAUGGUUUUAAUUUUAUUUAACAAUUAUGUAAGAUUAGCUUGGUCGGCUAUUUAGCUUGGUACCAUUGUUCCAUCGACUGGUGAAGGUGCAUGUGAAAGUAGAGGUUCUCCAAAGAGUUGUGCUUAGAUAUUCAGCAUUGCCCAGAAGUAUUGAGUGUAGUUAUGCUGUCGAUCAUCACCACCCAAAUUUAGAUACUUGUUUCAUUGUAUGUUUAUUGCAAUAGACUUUUAAUUGAAUUGUUAUGUUUUUAAGUUUAAAGCUGACUUGUCUCACUCUGCCAAGUUUAACCUCAUCUGGAAACUCAAGUGGAACCUUUUGUGUUCAAUAGUUUUCGUAUCCACUCGUAUUUGCGCGUCUUGUUGGGAGGCCUCCCAGCAGGGGAUUAAUCUCUCCCCUGCAAAACGUUGGAUCACUAGCGCACCGUAGCAUCACUCACUGCGACGUCAGGAAUGCAGGGAUAUUGAACAAUUUCAUAUAUACAUGAGAUUGUCCUUGUUUGGUAGGCAGGGUACAGGAUAGGAGCGCGUUUGGGUUCUUUCAGAUGAAGCGAGCUUGGCAGAGAGGCAACUCUUGAUAACUUUGUCUAAAGAAACUAAUGGACACCCCAUUUUGCAGAAUUUUCCAUCUAUUGGUGUUGAGGCAGUCAAGAAAAGUGAACUGGUUUGUUAGAUGUACAAAGUUGACGGGACACUUAAAAUUCUCCCGAGUUACCUGUCAGUGACAGAUUUUGUACUGGGAUAUUAUACUAUGGGCUAAUUUCCAGAGGUUUUAAUGUUCAAAGGCAUUUUCUUGAAGUUGACAGGAUAGAAGAUUGGGCUCAAGGCUGUAAACAAUUGUUUUAGUGCCCUCUUGUGGCAGAAGUGUGCCGUUUCACUAUUGAGGUAGAUUUCCUUUUAGGAUUUACUCCAAUCGUAACUUGUCUUAAUGUUCACUUUAACCACCAGUUUUUGAUCCCUUCGCCUUUUGAUGUUAAGGUUGCAGUUUAACAUCCUUGUCCCCAGAGCCCAAGACACUGAGGGAGGAACCAGCAGAGAUCACUUGGGGCGAUUUUUAUGGUAUGUCUCGAGUGCAUUUGUAAUGGUGUUGUAGCAUCAAACUCCCCACACACACACCUUUUCAACAGCGGCUAACUGGUAUCUCUGACGUCCAUUAUUUGUAACCUUCAAAAAUCUACCAUCUACAAUGAGGCCCACUUUAUGCCACGAUUGGCUAGCUUGGCGAGUUAAUUGGGACGACGUUUGAUUCAAUGUCCUGCUUUGUUGCAUGAGAAACUGCUAUUACCUGGUUGUCUAGACUGAGUUCUUCCUCUGCUCCUGAUUCUGUAGCCCCCCGAAGCUUC
ensembl:lncRNA